rnacentral:rRNA from 1 species
AUUGAACGCUGGCGGAAUGCUUUACACAUGCAAGUCGAACGGCAGCACGGACUUCGGUCUGGUGGCGAGUGGCGAACGGGUGAGUAAUACAUCGGAACGUGCCCAGUCGUGGGGGAUAACGUAGCGAAAGCUACGCUAAUACCGCAUACGAUCUAAGGAUGAAAGCGGGGGACCGUAAGGCCUCGCGCGAUUGGAGCGGCCGAUGGCAGAUUAGGUAGUUGGUGGGGUAAAGGCUCACCAAGCCGACGAUCUGGAGCUGGUCUGAGAGGACGACCAGCCACACUGGGACUGAGACACGGCCCAGACUCCUACGGGAGGCAGCAGUGGGGAAUUUUGGACAAUGGGCGCAAGCCUGAUCCAGCCAUUCCGCGUGCAGGAUGAAGGCCCUCGGGUUGUAAACUGCUUUUGUACGGAACGAAAAGGCUCUGGUUAAUACCUGGGGCUCAUGACGGUACCGUAAGAAUAAGCACCGGCUAACUACGUGCCAGCAGCCGCCGCGG